rnacentral:rRNA from 1 species
UACGUAGGGGGCAAGCGUUGUCCGGAAUCAUUGGGCGUAAAGCGCGUGUAGGCGGCUGGGUAAGUCCGCUCUGAAAGCCCGGGGCUCAACCCCGGGAGGCGGGUGGAUACUGCUCAGCUCGAGUCCGGAAGAGGAGUGUGGAAUUCCUGGUGUAGCGGUGAAAUGCGUAGAUAUCAGGAGGAACACCGGUGGCGAAGGCGGCUAUCUGGACAGAGUCUGACGCUGAGGCGCGAAAGCUAGGGGAGCAAACAGG